rnacentral:rRNA from 1 species
UACAGAGGGUGCGAGCGUUGUUCGGAAUUACUGGGCGUAAAGUGUGCGCAGGUGGCCGCGCAAGUCGAGUGUGAAAUCCCCGAGCUUAACUUGGGAAUUGCGCUCGAAACUACGUGGCUCGAGUGUGGCAGAGGAAGGUGGAAUUCCACGUGUAGCGGUGAAAUGCGUAGAGAUGUGGAGGAACACCGAUGGCGAAGGCAGCCUUCUGGGCCAACACUGACGCUCAUGCACGAAAGCGUGGGGAGCAAACAGG